CCUACGGGUGGCAGCAGUAGGGAAUAUUGCUCAAUGGGGGAAACCCUGAAGCAGCAACGCCGCGUGGAGGAUGAAGGUUUUCGGAUUUUAAACCUCUUUUUUUAGGGAAGUUAAUGACGUUAUCUAACGAAUAAGCACCGUCUAACUCCGUGCCAGCAGCCGCGGUAAUACGGAGGGUGCCAGCGUUACUCGGAAUUACUGGGCGUAAAGAGCGCGUAGGCGGGAUAGCAAGUCAGAUGUGAAAUCCUAUGGCUUAACCAUAGAACUGCAUUUGAAACUGUUAUUCUGGAGUAUGGGAGAGGUAGGUGGAAUUCGUGGUGUAGGGGUAAAAUGCGUAGAGAUCAAGAGGAAUACUCAUUGCGAAGGCGACCUGCUGGAACAUAACUGACGCUGAUGCGCGAAAGCGUGGGGAGCAAACAGGAUUAGAUACCCCUGUAGUC
rnacentral:rRNA from 1 species